GUGCUCGUUUCAGCAGCACAUAUGCUAAAAUUGGAACGAUAGAGAGAUGAGCAUGGCCCCUGCGCAAGGAUAACACGCAAAUUCGUUCCAUAUUUUU
rnacentral:snRNA from 1 species